AACGAACGCUGGCGGCAUGCCUAACACAUGCAAGUCGAACGAGACCUUCGGGUCUAGUGGCGCACGGGUGCGUAACGCGUGGGAACCUGCCCUUAGGUUCGGAAUAACUCCCCGAAAGGGGUGCUAAUACCGGAUAAUGUCUUCGGACCAAAGAUUUAUCGCCUUUGGAUGGGCCCGCGUUGGAUUAGCUAGUUGGUAGGGUAAAAGCCUCCAAGGCGACGAUCCAUAGCUGGUCUGAGAGGAUGAUCAGCCACACUGGGACUGAGACACGGCCCAGACUCCUACGGGAGGCAGCAGUGGGGAAUAUUGGACAAUGGGCGAAAGCCUGAUCCAGCAAUGCCGCGUGAGUGAUGAAGGCCUUAGGGUUGUAAAGCUCUUUUACCCGGGAUGAUAAUGACAGUACCGGGAAAAUAAGCUCCGGCUAACUCCGUG
rnacentral:rRNA from 1 species